rnacentral:misc_RNA from 1 species
GUGAAUCAUCGAAUUUUUGAACGCAAAUUGCACUCUCUUCGGAGAGUAUGCCUGUUUGAGGGUCAGCCUAAAAAAAUCGACGGAGUCGCUGUUUCGCGGUUACAUUCGUCGGGAAUUGGGGCAUCUUAAACCUUUUGGGUUUUUAAGCGGCUUUAAAUUUUCUUUACCGUUCCACGAAAGGUUCUAAGAUUUUUAUUUUUAAACACGUUUAAGGUAUCGAUCUUUAUUAGAC